rnacentral:rRNA from 1 species
GAUGAACGCUGGCGGCGUGCCUAAUACAUGCAAGUCGAGCGGUAAGGCUUUCACUCUGUAUUUAAAUUAUUGAAUAUAGUGUGAAAGUACACGAGCGGCGGACGGCUGAGUAACGCGUAGGAACGUACCCCAAAGUGAGGGAUAAGCACCGGAAACGGUGUCUAAUACCGCAUGUGAUCUUCGGAUUAAAGCUUUAUGCGCUUUUGGGAGCGGCCUGCGUAAGAUUAGUUUGUUGGUGAGGUAAUGGCUCACCAAGACGAUGAUCUUUAGCUGGUCUGAGAGGAUGAUCAGCCAGACUGGGACUGAGACACGGCCCAGACUCCUACGGGAGGCAGCAGUAGGGAAUUUUCCACAAUGGACGAAAGUCUGAUGGAGCAACGCCGCGUGCAGGAUGAAGGCCUCGG